rnacentral:rRNA from 1 species
CCUACGGGCGGCAGCAGUGAGGAAUAUUGGUCAAUGGGCGCGAGCCUGAACCAGCCAAGUAGCGUGAAGGAUGACUGCCCUACGGGUUGUAAACUUCUUUUAUAAAGGAAUAAAGUGAGGCACGUGUGCCUUUUGGAAUGUACUUGACGAAUAAGGAUCGGCUAACUCCGUGCCAGCAGCCGCGGUAAUACGGAGGAUACGAGCGUUAUCCGGAUUUAUUGGGUUUAAAGGGCGCGUAGGUGGGUUGUUAAGUCAGUUGUGAAAGUUUGCGGCUCAACCGUAAAAUUGCAAUUGAUACUGGCAGCCUUGAGUCCUGUUGAGGUAGGCGGAAUUCGUGGUGUAGCGGUGAAAUGCUUAGAGAUCACGAAGAACUCCGAUUGCGAAGGCAGCUUCCUAAACUGCCACUGACAUUGAUGCUCGAAAGUGUGGGUAUCAAACAGGAUUAGAUACCCCAGUAGUC